AGCCACAUCACAUUGAAACACUGAUUCCCAUACAAUCACCAAAGUUAAGCAACAUCAAGCCUGGUCAGUACCUUGAUGGAUGACCACUUGAGAAUAUCAGGUGCUGUAAG